GACGGAGGAUGCAAGCGUUAUCCGGAAUUAUUGGGCGUAAGGCGUCCGCAGGUGGCUGUUCAAGUCUGCUGUCAAAGCGCAGAGCUUAACUCUGUAAAGGCGGUGGAAACUGUAGGUCUUGAGUAUGGUAGGGGUAGAGGGAAUUCCCGGUGUAGCGGUGAAAUGCGUAGAUAUCGGGAAGAACACCAGUGGCGAAAGCGCUCUACUGGGCCAUAACUGACACUGAGGGACGAAAGCUAGGGGAGCGAAAGGG
rnacentral:rRNA from 1 species